rnacentral:rRNA from 1 species
AUGUCCAACUGUCAUGAAAAAAGUGAACAGGUGGAGGUGGUGGUGGUACGCGUACCUCCUACGGAGUUCUGGUUGGAGCAUCCGGCGACGGCGCGGGCGAGGACGGGGAGCGGGUCGGCGAAGGGCAUGGCGGCCGGGAUGCAGACGCAGACGGUGUUGCUGGCGCCGCCGUCAACGCCGAGGACGACGCUGCACCCCAUGCGCGGGCUCUGGCGGUCCUCCAUCUCCCAUAUGUCCCUAGUGGUGUACCUCUGCAUCCUCCCUCCCUCCUUGGUUGGCCAGACAGACAAACUGGGUGCACUAACAAGUCGCAUCUAA